rnacentral:rRNA from 1 species
GACGAACGCUGGCGGCGUGCUUAACACAUGCAAGUCGAACGGUAUGGCCCCUUCGGGGGUCCACGAGUGGCGCACGGGUGAGUAACACGUGGGUGAUCUGCCCUGCACUUCGGGAUAAGCCUGGGAAACUGGGUCUAAUACCGGAUAGGACCACGCUCUGCAUGGAGUGUGGUGGAAAGCUUUUGCGGUGUGGGAUGGGCCCGCGGCCUAUCAGCUUGUUGGUGGGGUGAUGGCCUACCAAGGCGACGACGGGUAGCCGGCCUGAGAGGGUGUCCGGCCACACUGGGACUGAGAUACGGCCCAGACUCCUACGGGAGGCAGCAGUGGGGAAUAUUGCACAAUGGGCGCAAGCCUGAUGCAGCGACGCCGCGUGGGGGAUGACGGCCUUCGGGUUGUAAACCUCUUUCAGUACCGACGAAGCGCAAGUGACGGUAGGUACAGAAGAAGCACCGGCCAACUACGUG